CGCGCGAUACAGGGUGACAGCCCCGUACACAAAAGCGCAUGUGCUGUGAGCUCGAUGAGUAGGGCGGGACACGUGGUAUCCUGUCUGAAUAUGGGGGGACCAUCCUCCAAGGCUAAAUACUCCUGACUGACCGAUAGUGAACCAGUACCGUGAGGGAAAGGCGAAAAGAACCCCGGCGAGGGGAGUGAAAAAGAACCUGAAACCGUGUACGUACAAGCAGUGGGAGCCCCACCACCAAAGCAUUCUCUGGUGUUGAAGGCCCUGCAAAGCAGCAUCGCGGUGGCGGAGCGUCGUUUGCGACGCCCAACACACAAAACAAGCGGUGAGUGCUUUGGGGUGGGGUGACUGCGUACCUUUUGUAUAAUGGGUCAGCGACUUAUAUUCUGUAGCAAGGUUAACCGAAUAGGGGAGCCGGAGGGAAACCGAGUCUUAAUUGGGCGUUAAGUUGCAGGGUAUAGACCCGAAACCCGGUGAUCUAGCCAUGGGCAGGUUGAAGGUUGGGUAACACUAACUGGAGGACCGAACCGACUAAUGUUGAAAAAUUAGCGGAUGACCUGUGGCUGGGGGUGAAAGGCCAAUCAAACCGGGAGAUAGCUGGUUCUCCCCGAAAGCUAUUUAGGUAGCGCCUCGUGAAUUCAUCUCCGGGGGUAGAGCACUGUUUCGGCUAGGGGGCCAUCCCGGCUUACCAACCCGAUGCAAACUGCGAAUACCGGAGAAUGUUAUCACGGGAGACACACGGCGGGUGCUAACGUCCGUCGUGAAGAGGGAAACAACCCAGACCGCCAGCUAAGGUCCCAAAGUCAUGGUUAAGUGGGAAACGAUGUGGGAAGGCCCAGACAGCCAGGAUGUUGGCUUAGAAGCAGCCAUCAUUUAAAGAAAGCGUAAUAGCUCACUGGUCGAGUCGGCCUGCGCGGAAGAUGUAACGGGGCUAAACCAUGCACCGAAGCUGCGGCAGCGACACUCAGGUGUUGUUGGGUAGGGGAGCGUUCUGUAAGCCUGCGAAGGUGGCCUGUGAGGGUUGCUGGAGGUAUCAGAAGUGCGAAUGCUGACAUAAGUAACGAUAAAGCGG
rnacentral:rRNA from 1 species